UGUCACUUCAGAUUGUUUGUCACUGAGAACGUGAUGAGCAUGAUUCCUGGGAUAUAGAAGGGCUUGGUCUUGUACUCUCCACCUACGGGCCAUCUGGGGCAGGCAGCGGAGGCUGUCUUUUGAUCUGUGGAGGGAGCUGCAUUGAACUUCAAGAGAGUGUCCCACUUUUCUUUUCACCAGAACUUCAUGGUAAGGAUCAAAACCUAAUUUCUUCUUUAUGCUCACAAGGUUCUGG
rnacentral:lncRNA from 1 species